rnacentral:lncRNA from 10 species
GUGGUAAAAGUGGGCAUCCUUGUCUUGUUCCAGUUCUCAGGGGAAUGCUUUCAACUUUUUCCCAUUCAGUUUAAUGUUGGCUGUGGGUUUGUCACAGAUGGCUGUUAUAACUUUAAGACCCAGGGAAAGGGAAGAAAGAGAAGAAUGGAUACCACAUUGGAAAAGAAAAAUGUGUCACCUAGAAGGCUCCCAGGGGUCACCAAGAGGGAAAGGUGUUACCCAUCCUGUCCGGCCACAGUGGGAAGACGAGGCUGAGGUAGGAAGGAGGAGAGGAGCUUCCUGCCCAUAGCCUCUCUCUCCAGGCCAAAGUCCAGGCUGAGGGGACACCAAGAGCAGAAGGGCAUUGGCUUUGCUCCUUUCUUGGACUCCUUGGAAUAGCAUAGCACACAUCCUCCAGCCCAGGCUGCAACAGUGAAUGCCAGACCUGCCCAUGGCCAGGAGAGGCACCUGACCAAAAGGACCCAGAGGACAGCAGCAAGCAAACACCAAGGCAAGCCUGAGGCCAGAGCCACAAGGUCAAAUGAACCCAGUUAUGGACUGAAUUGUGCCCCCUGGAUCCGUGUGUUGAAGCACCAACUCCCAAUGUGACUGUAUGCAGAGAUGGGGCCUUGAAAGAGGUCAGAAGGGUGGGGCCCUAAUUCAAUAGGUCUUGUGUCUCUGUAAGAGGAGAUUAGGACACAGACACAUAUAUGUGAAGACACAGGGAGAAGAUAGCCAUCUGCAAGCCAAAGAGAGAGGCCUCAAGAUAAACCAACCUUGCCAACACCCUAAUCUUGGACUUCAGCUUCCAGACCUGUGAGAAAUAAAUUUCUGUUUAAGCCACCUGUUCUCAGGUACAGUUAUCAUUUGGUACAUAGAAAGGAUUGCUUCCAGGACCUCCUGUGGAUACCAAAAUCCAUGGAUGCUCAAGUCCCUUGUAUAAAAUGGCCGGAGGUUCCCAGGAGCAGACCAAGAGAGUCAAUGUCAUGCAGCAAAAGUCUGCAGCACCUCACUGCCCAGGGCUCUGUGCUGGGGUGUGGGGUACAAAGCAGGCUGUGCUGUGACCCCAGACUCAAGAAGCUCACACGUGGGAGGCCACUGGGAAGCCAGAGAAGAGUCCUCUCUCCUGGACAGACUCCUUUGUCCUCAGUUUCCUUGUUGUAAAAUGGUGGUCAUAACAGAUAGUAGAAAAACAGUAACUCCUAGGGUUUUGUGCAAAUUAAAUAAUACAUGGAAAGUCCAAUAGCUAAUAAUUUACUGUAUACCUCACAUAGGUUUACUGGAUGUUGUUGGAUUAGCUGUUAAUUGAAAAAGUUACAUAUUCUUCAAAGAAAGAAUGAAGGGAGGAAGGGAGGAGGCUGUGCUUUAGAAGUGUAUCAGUAAAAUUGGGGCUGCUAAACAGCCAGAGUAUGAGAAGGCAUAUUUGGCGAACACGCCUAAUUGUUCAAGGUUGACCAUGCAGAAUGCAAGUCAAUUCCUGGGGCUGGGGAUGGGCCCCCCCAACCCUGGAACACAAAGUCCUGCCCCUGGGAAUCUGGAAUGGGAUCACAGCAUUGGGAGUUGAGGGCCAAGUCCUGUCAAUGAUGGCUGCAGAGAAGAGAAGUCCCCAAACCUGUCCAAUCCAACUCUUCCUUGAAUUCCUCGAGAAGCCCCAACAUCUUUUCGAUAAUUUCCCUUCUUCAUUCCAACUGCCUCAAGUCAGUUUAUUUUGCCCAUAGAAAGAAGAAACUGAACUGAUGCAGAUCCUUAAGGUCUGGUAUGUUUAAGUGCUCCCUUUCUUUGGCACUAGCUAAUGUGCAGCAGCAACUAUGAUGGUGGUAGGUAAGCCAGGCACUGAGGCCAGACUUCCAGCUGGAGCUCCCUCCUCUGGGCAUCCCUUUCUUUACCGUGAAAAUCAGAAGGUGGCCCUCUUCUCCCCCAACCCCAGCUUAGCAGGCCUGGAUUCUAGGGCUGACACCAAGUUUUGCCAGCAACAAACAUAAAUCCUGUGGGGGAAGGAGGACAGAGGUAGAGAAUGUUUUUUCAACAAUGGGCACCCCAUGAAUGCAAGCCUCAGAAAUUGCAUUUAGAUGAUAUAAUUAAAUGCUUAAAAAAAAAGACAAGAAUGAGAUCCAGUCAUCUUUCCAGAUAUUUUUCCACUCAAUAAAAGUUCAGGAUGUACUUUUCUAAGCUCCUUUCCUCUAAAAUGUGUGUAUUUUGAAGGAAAUGUAGCCCAUAUGUUGCUUACUCAUGCUUCACGCUAAGUGCUCUUGGGGCAUAUUUACUCAAAGUCCAAAACAACCUCCAUUUGUUUAUGUUUUUAAAGAAUCUCUCAGAGCUUAAAAACAGGAAGGCUUAGUUGGCCAAGUGCACUCCUUGCAAGUUUUCCACGGGUUGAGGGUUCAGCAUCCAUGAUGAGAUAGAAAGGGCUUCUCAAGUUCAUAAAGGUGCAUUGACCACCUGAGCCUGGUUGAUGAACUGUGAGUUUAUUCAGCCCGAGGCCAGGUCCGUGAGAGGAGCAGCCUGUGCCUAGGAGGGUAAGGAUGGGCCAGAACCCUGCUGAGAGUCAGCGCUGGCCCAAAGCCCUGAUGAGGGCAUUGCCCUGCAAUCCCCAAGUCUACUUCCCAGCCCUGAGUGGAGGACAUCUGGGGGGUAGUUCUAGCAAGCCCAGGGCAAUGGUUCACUGCAGUAAAGACUGAGAGAAUUCUAUCUUGGCUGGAUGACCUCUCCCCUACCAAAUGGAAGUGUACAAGGCAGGGAAGAGGCAGCAAGACAGUGGCAUUGGGCUAGCAGAAAAGUAUGGCAAGUAGAGGCAGCCUGUGCUGUGCCUUCUGCAUCUGCCCUUCUCUAGCCUGAAGACCUGAAGCUUUCCAGGCUCAGUCUCAUCGUCUGUAAAAUGGGAAUCAUGCAUUUACCUUAUAAAGAUACAAGGAUCAGAAAUGCACAUCCAAAAUACCCAGCAUAGGACCCGGGGAUCCAUAACUGGGAACCCUUAGCAGACAAUAUGGGUGCAAUGGUUAAUAUUGAGUGUCAACUUGAUUGGAUUGAAGGAUGCAAAGUAUUGUUCCCGGGUAUGUCUGUGAGGGUGUUUCCAAAGCAGAUGAACAUUUGGGUCAGUGGACUGGGAGAGGCAGACCCAGCCUUAAUCUUUUUGGGCACCAUCUAAUCAGCUGCCAGUGCGGCUAGAAUAAAGCAGACAGAGGAAUGUGGAAGGACUUGACUGGCCGAGUCUUCCGGCCUUCACCUUUCUCCCACGCUAGAUGCUUCCUGCCCUGGAACAUCAGAUUUCUUCAGCUUUUGGACUCUUGGACUUACAGACUAACUAAUACAGUGACUAAUACAGUGGAAGAAUCUGGACGGCACGAUCCUUGUUAAUGCGACCAUGGUGGUCACAUCUGCUGGUAUGGUCUGAAUGGUUUCAUUCCCCAAAAUUUAUAUGUUGAAGCCUAAUCCCCAGUAUAAUGGUAUUUGGAGGUGGGAUCUUUGGGAGGUGAUUAGGUCAGAGGGUGGAGUCCCUGUGAUUGGGAUUGGUGCCCUAAUAAAAGAGACCCCAGAGAGAUCCCUCACUCCCCCAACACCAUGUGAGGACACUGAGAAUAUGUCUGUAUGAACCAGAAAGAGAGCCCACAGCAGACACCAAAUCUGCAGGUGUCUUGAUUUUGGACAUCCCAGCCUCUGGAACUGUGGGAAAUAAAUUUAUUUUGUGUAUAAA